UACGAAGGGGGCUAGCGUUGUUCGGAAUUACUGGGCGUAAAGGGCUCGUAGGUGGCCAACUAAGUCAGACGUGAAAUCCCUCGGCUUAACCGGGGAACUGCGUCUGAUACUGGAUGGCUUGAGUUUGGGAGAGGGACGCGGAAUUCCAGGUGUAGCGGUGAAAUGCGUAGAUAUCUGGAGGAACACCGGUGGCGAAGGCGGCGUCCUGGACGUUUUUCGUGACACUGAGACGCGAAAGCCAGGGGAGCGAACGGG
rnacentral:rRNA from 1 species